AAUUAAGAGCAGAGUGUCAGUCAUCUAGACCUACAGCAGACAACUCUGAGCAUGAGGUGCAUUCUGUUGGAGGUCAGCGUGGCACUUCUUCUCUGAAAGAGUUAAUUGGUGAAGUUGGUGUCCAGUGUCGGGAGUUGUCACCCCAAGCGUUCUCAGAAGAACUUACCAGUGAGAGCAAAUCGAAAGAGGUGCCACAAUCAUCCAGAGCUGUGCCUAAUGACUCUGCUUGUGAGCUAAAGAUCGCAAGCAUCCCUUCUGGUCAACAGUGUGUUGCAGAGCCUAUUGCCCAUGACGUGGAGCACCAUGUGAUCUCUACAGACUCAUUCACAG